rnacentral:rRNA from 1 species
GACGAACGCUGGCGGCGUGCCUAAUACAUGCAAGUCGAGCGGACCAAAGGGAGCUUGCUCCUGGAGGUUAGCGGCGAACGGGUGAGUAACACGUGGGCAACCUGCCUGUAAGACUGGGAUAACAUCGAGAAAUCGGUGCUAAUACCGGAUAAUAAAAAGAACUGCAUGGUUCUUUUUUGAAAGAUGGUUUCGGCUAUCACUUACAGAUGGGCCCGCGGCGCAUUAGCUAGUUGGUGGGGUAACGGCUCACCAAGGCGACGAUGCGUAGCCGACCUGAGAGGGUGAUCGGCCACACUGGGACUGAGACACGGCCCAGACUCCUACGGGAGGCAGCAGUAGGGAAUCUUCCGCAAUGGACGAAAGUCUGACGGAGCAACGCCGCGUGAGUGAUGAAGGUUUUCGGAUCGUAAAACUCUGUUGUUAGGGAAGAACAAGUGCCGUUCGAAAGGGCGGCACCUUGACGGUACCUAACGAGAAAGCCACGGCUAACUACGUAGCCAGCAGCCGCGGUAAAGU